rnacentral:rRNA from 1 species
UACAGAGGGGGCAAGCGUUGUUCGGAAUUACUGGGCGUAAAGGGCGCGUAGGCGGCCUGCUAAGUCGAACGUGAAAUCCCUGGGCUCAACCCAGGAACUGCGUCCGAUACUGGUGGGCUCGAAUCCGGGAGAGGGAUGUGGAAUUCCAGGUGUAGCGGUGAAAUGCGUAGAUAUCUGGAGGAACACCGGUGGCGAAGGCGACAUCCUGGACCGGUAUUGACGCUGAGGCGCGAAAGCCAGGGGAGCAAACAGG